rnacentral:rRNA from 1 species
AUUGAACGCUGGCGGCAUGCCUUACACAUGCAAGUCGAACGGUAACGGGCCUUCGGGUGCCGACGAGUGACGAACGGGUGAGUAACAUAUCGGAACGUACCUUUCAGUGGGGGAUAACGUAGCGAAAGUUACGCUAAUACCGCAUAUUCUGUGCGCAGGAAAGCAGGGGACCUUCGGGCCUUGCGCUGAUUGAGCGGCCGAUAUCAGAUUAGCUAGUUGGUGAGGUAAAGGCUCACCAAGGCGACGAUCUGUAGCGGGUCUGAGAGGAUGAUCCGCCACACUGGAACUGAGACACGGUCCGGACUCCUACGGGAGGCAGCAGUGGGGAAUUUUGGACAAUGGGGGCAACCCUGAUCCAGCCAUGCCGCGUGAGUGAAGAAGGCCUUCGGGUUGUAAAGCUCUUUCGGCCGGGAAGAAAUCGUAUAGGCUAAUACCCUGUGCGGAUGACGGUACCGGCAUAAGAAGCACCGGCUAACUACGUGCCAGCCGCCGCGGUAAGAC